CCUACGGGAGGCAGCAGUAGGGAAUCUUCCACAAUGGGCGAAAGCCUGAUGGAGCAACGCCGCGUUGGUGAAGAAGGUCUUCGGAGCGUAAAACCCUGUUGUUAGAGAAGAAAGUGCGUGAGAGUAACUGUUCACGUUUCGACGGUAUCUAACCAGAAAGCCACGGCUAACUACGUGCCAGCAGCCGCGGUAAUACGUAGGUGGCAAGCGUUAUCCGGAUUUAUUGGGCGUAAAGGGAACGCAGGCGGUCUUUUAAGUCGGAUGGGAAAGGCUUCGGCUUAACCGGAGUAGGGCAGUGGAAACUGGGAGACGUGAGUGCAGAAGAGGAGAGUGGAACUCGAGGUGUAGCGGUGAAAUGCGUAGAUAUAUGGAAGAACACCAGUGGCGAAAGCGGCUCUCUGGUCUGUAACUGACGCUGAGGUUCGAAAGCGUGGGUAGCAAACAGGAUUAGAUACCCGGGGAGUC
rnacentral:rRNA from 1 species